CCUACGGGCGGCAGCAGUGGGGAAUAUUGGACAAUGGGCGAAAGCCUGAUCCAGCCAUGCCGCGUGUGUGAAGAAGGCCUUCGGGUUGUAAAGCACUUUCAGUGGGGAAGAAAGCCUUGGGGCUAAUACCCUCGAGGAAGGACAUCACCCACAGAAGAAGCACCGGCUAACUCCGUGCCAGCAGCCGCGGUAAUACGGAGGGUGGAGCGUUAAUCGGAAUUACUGGGCGUAAAGCGCGCGUAGGCGGUCUGAUAAGCCGGUUGUGAAAGCCCCGGGCUCAACCUGGGAACGGCAUCCGGAACUGUCAGGCUAGAGGGCAGGAGAGGAAGGUAGAAUUCCCGGUGUAGCGGUGAAAUGCGUAGAGAUCGGGAGGAAUACCAGUGGCGAAGGCGGCCUUCUGGACUGACACUGACGCUGAGGUGCGAAAGCGUGGGUAGCAAACAGGAUUAGAUACCCGAGUAGUC
rnacentral:rRNA from 1 species